rnacentral:rRNA from 1 species
GAAGAAAAGGGUAGGAGGAAUACACAGCAUUAGAUUAGAGUGGAAAUACCCGGGAGACACAAGAUGAUGAAUGGGACGGCCGUAGGCCCAGACAGAUAAGAAAGCGAGAAGAGUGAGAGGAAUCAAACAGAAUUAGGUUAUCCCAAUAGUUGCUCGUCCUAACCCUAUGUGCGCGGGAAUGUAGGGUACCUUAGUCCAUUCAGUAUCGUAGCUAACGCGAUAAGCGCACCGCCUGGGGGAGUGCGGCCGCAAGGUUGAAACUCAAAGGAAUUGACGGGGGCCCGCACAAGCGGUGGAGCAUGUGGUUUAAUUAGAAGCAACGCGCAGAACCUUACCAGCCCUUGACAUGGUCACGACCGGCGCAGAGAUGCGCUUUUCCCGCAAGGGACGUGAUGCACAGGUGCUGCAUGGCUGUCGUCAGCUCGUGUCGUGAGAUGUUGGGUUAAGUCCCGCAACGAGCGCAACCCUCGCCUUUAGUUGCCAGCACGUUUGGGUGGGCACUCUAAAGGAACUGCCGGUGACAAGCCGGAGGAAGGUGGGGAUGACGUCAAGUCCUCAUGGCCCUUAUGGGCUGGGCUACACACGUGCUACAAUGGCGGUGACAAUGGGAAGCCAGGCAGCGAUGUCGAGCCGAUCCCAAAAAGCCGUCUCAGUUCAGAUCGCAGCCUGCAACUCGGCUGCGUGAAGGUGGAAUCGCUAGUAAUCGCGGAUCAGCACGCCGCGGUGAAUACGUUCCCGGGCCUUGUACACACCGCCCGUCACACCAUGGGAGUUGGUUUUACCUUAAGCAGGUGCGCUAACCCGCAAGGGAGGUAUCUUAUCUACGGUACUAUAAAGUCGGU